rnacentral:rRNA from 1 species
CAGCCGUAAACUAUGCUCGCUAGGUGUCAGGCAUGGGCGCGACCGUGUCUGGUGCCGCAGGGAAGCCGUGAAGCGAGCCACCUGGGAAGUACGGCCGCAAGGCUGAACUUAAGGAAUUGGCGGGGGGAGCACCACAACGGGUGGAGCCUGCGGUUUAAUUGGACUCAACGCCGGGAAGCUCACCGGGAUAAGACAGCGGAAUGAUUGCCGGGCUGAAGACUCUGCAUGACUAGCUGAGAGGUGGUGCAUGGCGUAGACGUC